rnacentral:rRNA from 1 species
CUUUCAUGGAGAGUUUGAUCUUGGCUCAGGACGAACGCUGGCGGCGUGCCUAAUACAUGCAAGUCGAGCGCAUGCACCCGGCGGACCUCUUCGGAGGGAAACCGGGGAAUUGAGCGGCGGACGGGUGAGUAACACGUGGGCAACCUGCCCUCUAGACGGGGAUAACUCCGGGAAACCGGAGCUAAUACCCGAUAA